ensembl:lncRNA
CUUCAGGCAGGGACGCGGACGUCUGACGUACAGUCGUCCGCUUUUAACGGAGUCUAAAUGACCUUCGCUGUAUCUGAAUCCGGGAUCAAUCGAACUUAUUGGGAGAUGAAAUGUGUUGAGUGAUAUUUUGAGGAGGAUCGAACGUGAACUCAGAUAUUCGCACCUUCGUGGUUCGGCAGUGACGUUUUGUCAGAGCGAAUAGCGACAAAUGCAGCGACUUUAUCCGCUUUAUUGGACACUUUUGCGGCGUCUGACGUGAAAACACGCGUCGCUCUGUGCUCAGCGGGUCCCGCGGGAACUGGUCCAGGAAAGAGAGAACUCUUCAAUGGUCGCUCGUCUCCGGGGGACGGGUUCGAUCUCGGACUCGGAAGUGGCGAUUUAGACUCCGCUAAAAGCGGACGACUGUAGGUCCGACGCCCCCGACCCCCCAGCGUGCUAUGAGGGCGGAGUGAGUCCGUAGAACUGGUCCAGUUCGAUUGUGGAGAGGAACGCGGACCCUGAGACCACACUGCUGACGUAUCUGAGGAGGACGCUGAGGAGGAACAAGCAGUUUAUCACAUGCAGAGCGGAGAGUGCGGGUCAGGAUGUCAGGUUGGACCAGGUC